rnacentral:hammerhead_ribozyme from 1 species
AUUGAGCCGACGAGUCCCAAAUAGGACGAAACGCGCAUCCUGGAU